GAUUUUUUUUAAUGGUUUGAUUUUUAAAAAUGUCAAAUUUCCCGCCAGCAGCUAGAUUAAAAAUUUUCCUGCAAUUGACAGUUGAAAAAGGCCAGAUCUGGCCGGUAAAAGGCUAAGUUGGCAGCCCUGCUGUUCGCUAGACUAGACUAGUAGCGCAAGAUAAGUAUAAACUUUAUUAACGAGAAUCGAAUAGUUAUUGAAUUUCAUAUUUUUCAGCUCUUUUAAGGAAAUAUAUUGGUGGUCCUGAAAAGGACCGAUUGUUGUGAAAAUAAGUUGCUUGUUUGUACUCGUUUUUUCUUAACCGCCAAAACCGUACAGUGUACGACCUUGCCUCUU